ensembl:snRNA U6 U6 spliceosomal RNA
GUGCUCGCUUCAGCAGCACACGUAUUAAAAUUGCAACAAUACAAAGAUUUGCAUGGCCUGUACAAGGAUGACACGCAAAUUCAUGAAGCAUUCCAUAUGUUG